GAGGGGGGCAGGGGCAGCACCUGUGGAAGGAAGGGCCUUUAAGCCUCGAAGAAUGAGAAUUCAGAGCGGAAAGUGGGAGACACAGACCAAAGAAACAACCAGAACACAGAGUUCGUAAAGAAGAGAGGAUGAUGCUGCCCUUAAUGCUCAGCUGAUUACAGACUAAACACAAAAGUUCCCAGAGGAAAAUGGUGGACUUGGGAGCUGCUGCCUCAGGAGGAUCUUGAGUGUUAGUGGUU
rnacentral:lncRNA from 1 species